CGGCCACGCCCACCCGGCGGGAAUCGCCGGCGUGGUCCGCAACGCUAAGCGGGGGGUCCUGAGCUGGGUGGGGGGCUCAGCUCCGUGCACUCCCCGCAGCCUAUGCCGUCGGUGCGCAGCCCCGCAGGAGACACCCACAGCAUUACCAUCGGGUUUGGGUUUAUUGCUCCCGUGGGGAGAGUGCUCACCUCCCCACUGGCCAGGGCAAAGAGCAGGACACCCAGGGACCACCAGUCAGCUGCGUGGCUGUAGGGACCCCCACUCAGCACCUCUGGGGCUGCAGGGAUGAGGAGAGUGCCACAGAUGGUGUGUGCCCGCUCACCACAGCGCAGGUGUCGGGAGAGCCCAAAGUCAGCGAGUUUGAGAUGCCCUGGGGGGCAAGACAGUGCAAGAGGAGGGGGUGACCCCAUGCACAGGAUGUCCCCACGCCAAUGCCACCAGGCCCUCACCUCUCUCAUCCAGGAGGAUGUUCUCCAUCUGAAAUAAAACAAGCUCUGGGGUGGGCCCUCCAUGCCAGGGGAUGCAGAGACCCUCAGUGCCUUUUUGUCCCCCCUCCCUUCUAUCACCCACCUUCACAUCUCUGUGCACGAUGCCCAGGUCGUGGAGGUACACUGGGGACAAGAUGGAGCUGUCAGAGCCGGGGUGUCCCCUCCCUGCACCGUACCCAUUGCCACCCUCAGGGGGGGGGCUGAGCCCCCACUCACCCAGCACCAGCACCAGCUCGGCUGCAAACAGGCGGACGGUGGCCUCGGUGAAGCGCCCAGCGGCACGCCACAGCGCGUGCAGGUCCCCAGUGCUGCAGUAGGUGCACACUGCCAGGAUGGGUCACACCACCCUUACCCAGGGCCACGCAGGCACCAAAGUGAUGCAUGGGGCCAUAUGGGUGGGGAGGUGGUACAAGGACUGGGAUCUUCUGGGCACCAGAGCCGUGUGAGCACAGGGAGAUUGCAAGCACUGUGCCCAGGGUGGUACAGGCACCAGGGCUGCACAGACUCUGCGGCCACGUGGACACAAAGGUGGCACAAGCACUGCAAAUGUAUGGGCAUGAAAGCGAUGCAAACAUCACAGACACACGGGUAUGAGAGCGGCAUGAGAAUUGUGGCUACGUGGGCAUGAAGGGGGCAAAACAAUGUGGCACGUGGGCUCAGAAGUAGCACAGGUACUGUGGCCACACGGUCAUGAAGGUGGCAUAAGUACUGUGGCCAUAGGGGUGACGUAAGAACGUGUCCACACGCUGUGAUGGUGGCGUAUGGGCGUGAAGGUGACACAAGGACAUGCCCACUUGCCACGAUGGUGGCAUAGCACUGCAAGCACACGGCCAUAAAGGUGGCACAAGCACCGUGGCUAAAUGGGCACCAAGGUGACACGACCCUUGGGGCUCACAGACCCGCCAGGCCCAUACAGACCCUGUGGGCACAGCGGUGGCACAGAGCCACCAGAGCCGUGACGAUGGCACAGUGGCCUUUUUCCCCAUUGUCCCAUUGCUGUCCCUGCAGUGGGUGAGGGGUGGGAGGCAGCAGCCCGGCGCUCAGCCCCCAUGGGCAGCGUGCAGAACGUGCAGGGAGGGGAGGGGGGGGAACACGUGUGCAGGCAGAGAGAACACGUGCACAGGCAGAGAGGGGGGGGGUGGGGGGAGCCCGCGGGCAGAUGGUCACUCACUGAUGAAGAGGUGGCGCUGGCCCUGCCAGCUGUCCCCAAGGCCGUGGACAAACGGGUGCCUGACCUGUCUCUGGGGAUACAAAGCGGAGAGGGUGAGCGGUCCCUGGAUGGGGGGGUUCCUCCUUGUGCCCCCCCCCCCCUCCCCCCUUCUCUCCCCUAACCUGGAUGCUGACUUCUUCCUUGCACUGCUUAAGGGUGUCGCGGCGCAGCACCUCCACUUUGGGCACGACCUGGAAGAGGGGUCGUCAGGAUGGGGGGGGUUUCUGCGGCAGCACGGAACCCCCAGGCUGUGGGGCAGCACUCACCUUCACGGCGCAGACCUUCUCUCUCCUGCAGUCCAACACUUUUAGUAUGGUACCGAAGGAGCCUUUGGCCACCAAGCCCAGGAUCUGAGGGGGGGGGGGAGGGAGGGGACACAGGAGCUGAACACCCUAUGGAAUGAUGAGGGGUACAUCCUGCCGGGGUGUGGGGUCCUGCGUGGGUGAGUGGCACAGGGCAGGCGGGGGGGAAAUAAGGUCCUGGAGGUACGCAGUAGGGCACACGGGGGGACAUAGAGGAUGGGAACACCUCAACGUGGGGCACACGGGGCGCAGAGGGAACGCACGGAGGGGACCCGAACGGGACGGGAAAGGGACUCGGUGAGACGGUGGCGGACUCCUGUAAGGACGCACGGGGACCCCGUAGGGAGCGCGGAGACCUCGCUGAAAGGCACCGACCGCACGGGGACCCGGACAGGGCGCUCGGAGAUCCCGACGGGAUAUAGACAGAGCAGGCACAGGGCGCGACGGGACCCGUCGGGAGGCACACGGGACGCGCGGACUCCCCGGUGAAGCGGAGGGGUUCCCCGGUGCGCUGCAUCGGUCCCCGGACGGCACCUUGAGCUGCUGCUGCCGAGCGGAGGGGCGAACGGGGAACUCCGGCAGGAAAAGCGAGACGAGCUGCGGCAGCGGCCACCCCGGGAACGGCGGCUCCUCGGUGGCCACAGCGAGUCCCGGUACCGGCACCGGUCCCUGGACCGACCCGCUCCGGCGGAGCAGCGCCCGCACCCACGACCCCACGGCUCGGCCCUACGGAACCGGGGGCAGCCGUCAGCGAGCCGGGGUCGGAUACCGGAUAGGGGGACGCGGGGACGCCGUCGGGGCCACCGCACGCACCUGGGGGGGCCCCGGGCCGGACCCGCUGCUGGCUGCUCCCAUCGCGCCGCCGCCCGGCCCGGCCCCGUUAAUCGCCGCCUUACAUAACCUCGCCCCGCCCCGCCCCGCCCCGACCCCCCCCCGGCACUGGGGCUCCGUGCGGUACCCACCCCCCAUCCGCACCGGGCAGCAGCCACGGACUCCGAGCCCCCCCCCAUCCCGGCCCCCGGUAGGAGCUGGGGGUGCUCCCAUCCAUCCCCCCCCCCUGCUUCCUUCGGGGCAACUUCCAAAUUAAGAGGGUGAAAGGGUCAGCGCAGCCCCCCUCCAGCCCCACAAAGCUCCAG
rnacentral:lncRNA from 1 species